rnacentral:rRNA from 1 species
GAACCGCAUGGUUCAAGGAUGAAAGACGGUUUCGGCUGUCACUUACAGAUGGACCCGCGGGCCAUUAGCUAGUUGGUGAGGUAACGGCUCACCAAGGCGACGAUGCGUAGCCGACCUGAGAGGGUGAUCGGCCACACUGGGACUGAGACACGGCCCAGACUCCUACGGGAGGCAGCUGUAGGGAAUCUUCCGCAAUGGACGAAAGUCUGACGGAGCAACGCCGCGUGAGUGAUGAAGGUUUCCGGAUCGUAAAGCUCUGUUGUUAGGGAAGAACAAGACUGAGAGUAACUGCUUGCACCUUGACGGUACCUAACCAGAAAGCCACGGCUAACUACGUGCCAGCAGCCGCGGUAAUACGUAGGUGGCAAGCGUUGUCCGGAAUUAUUGGGCGUAAAGGGCUCGCAGCGGGUUUCUUAAGUCUGAUGUGAAAGCCCCCGGCUCAACCGGGGAGGGUCAUUGGAAACUGGGAAACUUGAGUGCAGAAGAGGACAGU